rnacentral:rRNA from 1 species
AACUAGUUUAACUAGGCAAAAAGAUUUUUAGUCUAACUCCCCGAACCUGGGCGAGCUACUUUAAAAUAGUUUUAUGAACUCACCCGUCUCUGUUGCAAAAGAGUGGGAAAAUUUUAUAGUAGCGGUGACAGACCUAACGAGCCCAGCGAUAGCUGGUUGCUUUUUAAAAGGAUUUUAGUCCCACUUAAAGUUACCUUAAACAAAAAAUUUAUUUACUUUUAAGUAAUUCAAAUAAGGUUCAGCCUGUUUGAAAAAGGAUACAACCUCCUCCACUGGGUAAAUUUUUUAUAAAUGUUUCAGUAGGCUUAAAAGCAGCCAUCUUGAACAAAAUCGUCAAAGAUUAAACAUUUCAAAAUAUAAUUUCUACAGCUUUCUCCAACCCUUUAACUUUAAAAAGCAACUCUAUACUUAUAUAGAAAAUUUUAUGUUAGAACUAGUAACUAGAAGAUAACCCUCCUCUUUAAUGUAAAUAUAAAUCAGUAAGGAUUUUCCACUGAUAAUUAAC